AUUGAACGCUAGCGGGAUGCCUUACACAUGCAAGUCGAACGGAGUGGCGAACGGGUGGGUAAUGUAUCGGAACGUGCCCAGUAGCGGGGGAAAACUACGCGAAAGCGUAGCUAAUACCGCAUACUGUUGGAGCGGCAGAUAUCGGAUGAGCUAGUUGGUGGGUUAACGGCUCACCAAGGCGACGAUCCGUAGCUGGUUGGAGGGGGCGACCAACCACACUGUGACUGAGACACGGCCCAGACUCCUACGGGUGGCAGCAGUGGGGAAUUUUGGACAAUGGGUGAAACCCUGAUCCAGCCCUCCCGCGUGUGCGAUGAAGGCCUUCGGGUUUUAAAGCACUUUUGGCAGGAAAGCGGUACCUGCAGAAUAAGCACCGGCUAACUACGUGCCAGCAGCCGCGGUAAUAC
rnacentral:rRNA from 1 species